UACGGGGGGGGCAAGCGUUGUUCGGAAUUACUGGGCGUAAAGGGCUCGUAGGCGGCCAACUAAGUCGGAUGUGAAAUCCCCAGGCUCAACCUGGGAACUGCAUCCGAUACUGGAUGGCUUGAGUUUGGGAGAGGGAUGCGGAAUUCCAGGUGUAGCGGUGAAAUGCGUAGAUAUCUGGAGGAAUACCGGUGGCGAAGGCGGCUCUCUGGAACAAUCCUGACGCUGAGGUGCGAAAGCUAGGGGAGCAAACGGG
rnacentral:rRNA from 1 species